rnacentral:rRNA from 1 species
GAUGAACGCUGGCGGCGUGCCUUACACAUGCAAGUCGAGCGGUAGCAGGAUCUGUAGCAAUACAGAUUGCUGACGAGCGGCGGACGGGUGAGUAAUACGUAGGAACCUGCCCUUAAGCGGGGGAUAACCAAGGGAAACUUUGGCUAAUACCGCAUACACUCGAGAGAGGAAAGCUGCAGCAAUGAGGCACUUGAGGAGGGGCCUGCGUCUGAUUAGUUAGUUGGUGAGGUAAGAGCUCACCAAGACUGUGAUCAGUAACUGGUCUGAGAGGACGACCAGUCACACUGGGACUGAGAAACGGCCCAGACUCCUACGGGAGGCAGCAGUGGGGAAUAUUGGACAAUGGGGGCAACCCUGAUCCAGCGAUGCCGCGUGGGUGAAGAAGGCCUUCGGGUUGUAAAGCCCUUUAGGUUGGGAAGAAGGUUAUCGGAGGAAAUGCUGAUAAUUUGACUGUACCGACAGAAUAAGCACCGGCAAACUCUGUGCCAGCCGCCGCCGUAA